rnacentral:rRNA from 1 species
ACUCCUACGGGAGGCAGCAGUAGGGAAUUUUCCGCAAUGGACGAAAGUCUGACGGAGCAAUGCCGCGUGAGUGAUGAAGGUUUUCGAAUCGUAACUUCUGUUGUAAGGGAAGAAUAGCAGUAGUAGGAAAUGACUACUGUUGUGACGGUACCUUACCAGAAAGCCACGGCUAACUACGUGCCAGCAGCCGCGGUAAUACGUAGGUGGCAAGCG